rnacentral:rRNA from 1 species
AGCGAACGCUGGCGGCAGGCUUAACACAUGCAAGUCGAGCGGAUGUAGCAAUACAUCAGCGGCAGACGGGUGAGUAACACGUGGGAACGUACCUUUUGGUUCGGGACAACCCAGGGAAACUUGGGCUAAUACCGGAUAAGCCCUUACGGGGAAAGAUUUAUCGCCGAAAGAUCGGCCCGCGUCUGAUUAGCUAGUUGGUGAGGUAAUGGCUCACCAAGGCGACGAUCAGUAGCUGGUCUGAGAGGAUGAUCAGCCACAUUGGGACUGAGACACGGCCCAAACUCCUACGGGAGGCAGCAGUGGGGAAUAUUGGACAAUGGCGCAAGCCUGAUCCAGCCAUGCCGCGUGAGUGAUGAAGGCCCUAGGGUUGUAAAGCUCUUUUGUGCGGGAAGAUAAUGACUGUACCGGGAGAUAAGCCCGGCUAACUCCGUGCCAGCAGCCGCGGUAAU